UUCCAUCUGGAGAGUCCCACAUAGGACGAAAUGCACGUCCUGGAU
rnacentral:hammerhead_ribozyme from 1 species